rnacentral:rRNA from 1 species
CUGGCUCAGGAUGAACGCUGGCGGUAUGCUUAACACAUGCAAGUCGAACGGUCUCUUCGGAGAUAGUGGCGGACGGGUGAGUAACGCGUGAGAAUCUAGCUUCAGGUCGGGGACAACCACGGGAAACUGUGGCUAAUACCGGAUAUGCCGAGAGGUGAAAGGCUUGCUGCCUGAAGAUGAGCUCGCGUCUGAUUAGCUAGUAGGUGUGGUAAAAGCGCACCUAGGCGACGAUCAGUAGCUGGUCUGAGAGGAUGAUCAGCCACACUGGGACUGAGACACGGCCCAGACUCCUACGGGAGGCAGCAGUGGGGAAUUUUCCGCAAUGGGCGAAAGCCUGACGGAGCAAUACCGCGUGAGGGAGGAAGGCUCUUGGGUUGUAAACCUCUUUUCUCAGGGAAGAAAAAAAUGACGGUACYUGAGGAAUAAGCAUCGGCUAACUCCGUGCCAGCAGCCGCGGUAAUACGGAGGAUGCAAGCGUUAUCCGGAAUGAUUGGGCGUAAAGGGUCCGCAGGUGGCUAUGUAAGUCUGCUGUUAAAGAACCUAGCUUAACUAGGUAAAAGCAGUGGAAACUACAWGGCUAGAGUGCGUUCGGGGUAGAGGGAAUUCCUGGUGUAGCGGUGAAAUGCGUAGAUAUCAGGAAGAACACCAGUGGCGAAGGCGCUCUACUAGGCCGCAACUGACACUGAGGGACGAAAGCUAGGGGAGCGAAUGGGAUUAGAUACCCCAGUAGUCCUAGCCGUAAACGAUGGAUACUAGGCGUGGCUUGUAUCGACCCGAGCCGUGCCGUAGCU